rnacentral:rRNA from 1 species
UACGAAGGGGGCUAGCGUUGUUCGGAAUUACUGGGCGUAAAGCGCGUGUAGGCGGGUCUUUAAGUCAGGGGUGAAAUGCCAAGGCUCAACCUUGGAACUGCCUUUGAUACUGGAGACCUUGAGUCCGGGAGAGGUGAGUGGAAUUCCGGGUGUAGCGGUGGAAUGCGUAGAGAUCCGGAGGAACACCAGCGGCGAAGGCGGCAUCCUGGACUGGUACUGACGCUCAGGAGCGAAAGCGUGGGGAGCGAUCCGG